GAUGAACGCUAGCGGCAGGCCUAACACAUGCAAGUCGAACGGUAACAGGGAUUGCUUGCAAUCCGCUGACGAGUGGCGCACGGGUGCGUAACGCGUAUAGAACCUACCCUUUACAGGGGGAUAGCCCGGAGAAAUUCGGAUUAAUACCCCAUAGUACUAUUUAGAGGCAUCUUUGAGUAGUUAAAGUUUCGGCGGUAAAGGAUGGCUAUGCGUCUUAUUAGUUAGUAGGUGAGGUAACGGCUCACCUAGACAGCGAUAAGUAGGGGCCCUGAGAGGGGGAUCCCCCACACUGGUACUGAGACACGGACCAGACUCCUACGGGAGGCAGCAGUGAGGAAUAUUGGACAAUGGUCGAGAGACUGAUCCAGCCAUGCCGCGUGCAGGAAGACGGCCCUAUGGGUUGUAAACUGCUUUUUUACGGGAAGAAUAAUGCCCACGUGUGGGCAGAUGACGGUACCGUAGGAAUAAGGACCGGCUAACUCCGUG
rnacentral:rRNA from 1 species